AGUGAACGCUGGCGGUAGGCCUAACACAUGCAAGUCGAACGGCAGCACAGUAAGAGCUUGCUCUUACGGGUGGCGAGUGGCGGACGGGUGAGGAAUACAUCGGAAUCUACUUUUUCGUGGGGGAUAACGUAGGGAAACUUACGCUAAUACCGCAUACGACCUACGGGUGAAAGCAGGGGAUCUUCGGACCUUGCGCGAUUGAAUGAGCCGAUGUCGGAUUAGCUAGUUGGCGGGGUAAAGGCCCACCAAGGCGACGAUCCGUAGCUGGUCUGAGAGGAUGGUAGGCGGCACGGGAGCGGAAACAGGGACCAGAGGCCUACGGGAGGCAGCAGAGGGGAAUAUUGGGCAAUGGGGGCAAGCAUGGCACAGCCAGACCGAGUGGGUGAAGGAGGCCUUCGGGUUGUAAAGCCCGUUUGUUGGGAAAGAAAAGCAGCAGGUUAAUACCAAGCUGUUGUGACGGUACCCAAAGAAGAAGCACCGGCUAACUACGUG
rnacentral:rRNA from 1 species